UUCGAUAUGGUGUAGUGGCCAACAUGAUGCCCUCUCAUCUCUCUGAGAGGAUAGGCAUAGCCCCGAGUUCGAUUCUCGGUUUCGGAA
rnacentral:tRNA from 1 species